CCUACGGGGGGCAGCAGUGAGGAAUUUUGCGCAAUGGGGGAAACCCUGACGCAGCAACGCCGCGUGAGUGAAGAAGGCCCUUGGGUCGUAAAGCUCUGUCAAUGGGGAAGAAAUUAUCUGGUGUUAACAGCAUCAUUUAUUGACGGUACCCAUGAAGGAAGCACCGGCUAACUCCGUGCCAGCAGCCGCGGUAAUACGGGGGGUGCAAGCGUUAUUCGGAAUUAUUGGGCGUAAAGGGCACGCAGGCGGUCCUGUCAGUCAGAUGUGAAAGCCCGGGGCUCAACCCCGGACGUGCAUUUGAAACAGCAGGACUUGAGUACGGGAGAGGAAAGGGGAAUUCCUGGUGUAGAGGUGAAAUUCGUAGAUAUCAGGAGGAACACCGGUGGCGAAGGCGCCUUUCUGGACCGAUACUGACGCUGAGGUGCGAAGGCGUGGGUAGCGAACGGGAUUAGAUACCCCCGUAGUC
rnacentral:rRNA from 1 species